rnacentral:rRNA from 1 species
GACGAACGCUGGCGGCGUGCUUAACACAUGCAAGUCACGGGGGCCCGCAAGGGCGACCGGCGAACGGGUGCGUAACACGUGAGCAAGCUUCCGAUUUGUGGGGGAUAGCCGGCCUAACGGCCGGGUAAUACCGCAUACGUUCACCGGACGGCAUCGUCUGGUGAGGAAACCUCCGGGGCAAAUCGAGGCGCUCGCGGCCUAUCAGCUAGUUGGCGGGGUAACGGCCCACCAAGGCGACGACGGGUAGCUGGUCUGAGAGGAUGGCCAGCCACAUUGGGACUGCGACACGGCCCAGACUCCUACGGGAGGCAGCAGUGGGGAAUAUUGCGCAAUGGACGGAAGUCUGACGCAGCGACGCCGCGUGUGGGAUGACGCCUUUCGGGGUGUAAACCACUGUUGCCCGGGACGAAACUCCUUUUUCGAGAGGAUUGACGGUACCGGGUGAGGAAGCACCGGCUAACUCUGUGCCAACAGCCGCGGUAAUACAGAGGGUGCGAGCGUUGUCCGGAUCACUGGGCGGUAAA